rnacentral:rRNA from 1 species
CAGUCGCCGCGGUAACACCGAGGGUGCGAGCGUUAAUCGGAUUUACUGGGCGUAAAGCGUGCGUAGGCGGCUUCUUAAGUCGGAUGUGAAAUCCCUGAGCUUAACUUAGGAAUUGCAUUCGAUACUGGGAAGCUAGAGUAUGGGAGAGGAUGGUAGAAUUCCAGGUGUAGCGGUGAAAUGCGUAGAGAUCUGGAGGAAUACCGAUGGCGAAGGCAGCCAUCUGGCCUAAUACUGACGCUGAGGUACGAAAGCAUGGGGAGCAAACAGGAUUAGAUACCCGUGUAGUCCCUGUCUCUUAUAC